rnacentral:rRNA from 1 species
GAAGAUAAAAAAGGCUGGUUAGGGCGCCAGGAGGCGAGGGCUGUAUCUUGAGGCAGCGAGUGGUAAGAACGAGCGGGCGAGCGGCAGAACCGAGAGGCUGCGGCGGGGGGUGGCGGAAGGAGGGAGGGGGCGGGGUGCGGCGGAAGGAGGGGGCUUGGUGCGACGCUACGACGGCCGAGCAGGGGGAGGAGCAAGGGGUGGCAGAGUUCGAAGUUAAAAACGGUGUAGCGGCCACCAACUAGACGGCCGUCUUAACGCCCGCCGCCGGACCUCGCCGUCAUGCGUUCGAGACUGAGGUAUGGCUCGGUCGGCCGUGUGGGCGGUUCCUCGAAGCGGUCGGCGACGGGAUCGCGGGCGCCGGCAGUUACGCACCAGCCCGCGGCGCAGCUACAACGGCGACGAGCCGCGGCGGCAGCGGCUGAGCACCGAGCCGGCCAUGGCGUGGUAGCAGCGGAGGAAGCAAUAGAUGUAGUGCACCGUGUUUCCGCUCGAUGGAACCGCACGUCUUCUCCGGGGGGAGGGAACGGAACACGGGCCGCUGGUUGUUGACGCACAGCUGCAGGCUCUCCUAUUCGUUAAGGUUAGUGAUGCGAGGGGGUACCAUUGGUAGACACAAGUCAAGAAAGUGGUAACUAGUACUUGGUGUAAUAUACUAUUUAAGUCACUCAUUCUUUAACGUCUCAGGGUUUAUACUGUUUUUACUGUAGACGUAAAAGAUUUUUGUUAAAUCAACGUUAUGUUACAGUUAAUGGACUUCGUCGUGUAAGCCUAAAUCAACGUUAUGUUACAGUUAUCAACGUUAUGUUCCAGUCAAUCAACGAAGUAAACAAUAAUAAUAAUAAUGGUGACUACACAAAGAUCUUCUUUGUUAAUAAUGAGGAUUAAGUACGAGUGUGUUGGUGAAGUACGAGUGUGUUAGUAUGUUCAACUUGGUGUAUCAAUAACUGUGUCUCUAACGGUACAACGAUUAUUUUUUUAACGUAGUAGGAAAGGAAAGUAUAUGUCAUUAGUUUAGACAACCUCAAAUGUGUGUUAGACACGAGCAUAGGAUACGAGAAGGACCAGUAGUUGUUACCUUUACUAACACACUUUAAAUUGUGUAAUGACCGGACGUUUGACGAAGGUAAUAGGACGACUUGUGUUGGAAACGUCCCUGCGUGCCUUAACGAGGAAAGGGAAAGAGACGAAGAAAAGGAAAGAAACGAACCUCCCGCGAUGACGAGAAGAAAGAGAAAGAGACGAAGCUUCCACCACCACCACGACGAUGACGAACAUCCCAUGACGACGAACCUCCUACAACGACCAGAAGAAAGGGAAAGAAACGAACCUCCCGCGACGACGAGAAGAAAGAGAAAGAGACGAAGCUUCCACCACCACCACGACGAUGACGAACAUCUCAUGACGACGAACCUCCUACAACGACCAGAAGAAAGGGAAAGAGACGAACCUCCCACGACGACGAGGAGAAAGAGAAAGAGACGAAGUUUACAUCUUUACAGUCAAGUCACACAUUAUACUUAGAAAAAACGGAAAUAUUUAACGUCUUCUUCUUUCCAUUUAAAGUCGUAAGAUCGAAAGAACGACCCCCUCGAUGUAGACGACGAUCCUUUGACCAACGAGUUUUACCCUGAGACUUCCGAUAAACCGGAGUGUCACCGGUGAUAGCGGGGUGUCUCCUCUUGAAGGUCCUCAAAUUUUCGAAGGAGUUACUGUUGAACAACUAGAGUGACUACGUGGACUUCUUUGACCGAGAGAAGUCUGUUGAGUUCAGUAAGUUUGUUGUAGAUGUCUCUGUCUUUUUGCACUCCUUGGUCACCACCGCGCGCUCUUCUAGGAAGUCUCCUCUACCACCAUCGUCGACGUGGGGACACCAUCGUAGUCGUAGAUGUCUUCUUGGUCACCAUCGUAGUUGUGGUUGUAGUUGUAGAUGUCUAGCAAGUCUCCUAGUUGUAGAUAUCUUCUUGGACACCAUCGUCGACGUGGGGACACCGGUGCUUGGAACGGCACCUCUACGUCUCUGUGGAAGGGUGCGAUGUCGUUCCUCCUCUCCUUCUACCUCGGCGCCGCCUUCUACCUCGACGCCGCGGACUCGGACCGUCGCCGCCUUCUACCUUAGCGCCGCGGACUCGGACCGUCGCCGCCUUCUACCUCGGUGCCGCGGACUCGGACCGUCGCCGCCUUCUACCUCGGUGCCGCGGACUCGGACCGUCUCCGUCUUCUACCUCGGCGCCGCGGACUAGGACCGUCGCCGCCUCUGCCUCGAGCUACACGACCUCAAUGGCCGCGAUAGAACGACGGCCUCUGCCUCGAGCUCCAUGAGCCUCCACCCCUCGAGCUCCACGACCCACGCCCUCGAGCUCCUCGACUGCGGCCGCUGCCCCAGGAUCACGAUCCCUACCUCGAGCUCCAAGACCGGCCGCCCUCUAGCUCCAAGACCGGCCGCCUGCCUCCAAGGCGCGCCACCUAGCGCUGCUCGCCUGCCUCUUGACCCAUGACCUAACAUUACUAAAGUUUAAAGCCUUCCCGGAAUAACAUUUUAACUAAACAAGUGCUAAGGCGGAGGGGACCUCAGUAGAUAAUGGCUUGCCUCCCUCAUACAAAGAAACGUUUUCGACCAGAAAGACAACAAACAGUGAUGUCCUUCGCUCAC